rnacentral:rRNA from 1 species
GCCUCAGUAACGGCGAGUGAAGCGGCAACAGCUCAAAUUUGAAAUCUGACCCCUUUCGGGGCCCGAGUUGUAAUUUGUAGAGGGUGUUUCGGGUGCGGCGCCGGUCUAAGUUCCUUGGAACAGGACGUCAUAGAGGGUGAGAAUCCCGUAUGCGACCGGCGACCAACCCCAUGUGAAACCCCUUCGACGAGUCGAGUUGUUUGGGAAUGCAGCUCAAAAUGGGUGGUAAAUUUCAUCUAAAGCUAAAUACUGGCCAGAGACCGAUAGCGCACAAGUAGAGUGAUCGAAAGAUGAAAAGCACUUUGGAAAGAGAGUCAAACAGUACGUGAAAUUGUUGAAAGGGAAGCGCUUGCAACCAGACCUGCCCUUGGGCGAUCAGCCGUUAUUUUUAGCGGUGCACUCGUCCUUGUUCAGGCCAGCAUCGGUUCGAGCGGCCGGAUAAAGGCCCCGGGAAUGUAGCUCCCCUCGGGGAGUCUUAUAGCCCGGGGUGCAAUGCGGCCAGCCCGGACCGAGGA